rnacentral:misc_RNA from 1 species
UCCUGGUUAACCCAGGCAGUCUCACUAGAGUUCCCACCCUAAGUGUUGGCAACUAGUGAUAAGGGUUGCGCUCGUUGCGGGACUUAACCCAACACCUCACGGCACGAGCUGACGACAGCCAUGCAGCACCUGUGUAAAGGCCCCGAAGGGAGAGCACAUCUCUGCGCUUGUCCUCUACAUGUCAAGCCUAGGUAAGGUUCUUCGCGUUGCAUCGAAUUAAACCACAUGCUCCACUGCUUGUGCGGGUCCCCGUCAAUUCUUUUGAGUUUUACUCUUGCGAGCGUACUCCCCAGGCGGUACACUUAUCACGUUAGCUUCGGCACAGUCGGGGUUGAUUCCAACUACACCAAGUGUACAUCGUUUACAGCUAGGACUAC